UACUUCACAGAGCAUGGAAUAGAUGGUGUGUGCCUGCUAGGAUGGACCAGGUAUCACUGUAGGUAAUAAACAGCCCCCCAAAAUGGAAAUUUACAGCACUGAAGGCUCUUUGUCUGCUCAUGCUGCACGUCCUCCAUGGCUCUCCUGGGCCCUGUCCUCCACAUCUCUUCAUCUGCCACCAAAAUAAAGGAGCAGCCUCUACAUGGCACCUAUCAACGGCUCUAAGAGAUGAAGGACAGGGUGGCCAGUCUCAAUGACUUCCAACUCUUUUGCCUCGAGGUGACACACUUCACUUCCACUCACAUCUCCUGAGUCAAAGCAAAUCCCAUAACUACCUCCACCUUCACGGGGCCCAGAGGGCCUAAUAGAGUCCAGCUGAAGUACUCAGUGGAGUCCAUUAGGGCCACCAUACGGUGUCAGCCUGUGCCGGGGCCUGUGGAGGGCAGAGGAGAGUGGGGAAUUGAUGGGAAAUGACAGCAGGACUGAGUCACUGUGCAUUUGCUUUAUCCUCAACCAGGUGGAGCUUGUCCCAGAGCGGCACAAAAUCAGCAGCAGCAUGAUCAAACAGGGUAAACUUCAGAAAAAGCAGUUUGUUGAGUUGUGAUCAGCAGUGAACUGAGAAUCAGCUGAGUGGCACUGAGUCUCGGUCCGGCUGAACAGAUCUGACUCCGACAUCCCCACAGACCCACAGUUCCUCCAUAUUCCGGGCAUGGACGUUGCUCCCUCGGGGGAUGACGCUGACUCGCCUGCCAAGGGUUGUCUGUGAGCAGCCGGCCUGCUGGGCGACGGGCCGAAGGAAGGCAGGAUGCGGGCCGGGGGAGGGAGCCCACACACGCAGCGUCGCGCUUGGCCAGACAGCCCCUGCAGAACCAAGGACAGAUGGCAGGGGGUUUGCAAUCCAUCAUUUGGAAGUGAUUGUCCAGGUGCAGGCAGCUGCCAAGCACUAGAGUGUACAGCCUUGCUGGGUCCCUAUCUGUGCAAAUGUCCGGCUGGGAGCUGGUUCUGCUGGAGGUCGACGCCAGCCAGGACACUCGGAGAAGCAGCCGGGGCUGGGGUGUGA
rnacentral:lncRNA from 1 species